rnacentral:rRNA from 1 species
AGAGUUUGAUCCUGGGCUCAGGAUGAACGCUAGCGGCAGGCCUAAUACAUGCAAGUCGUACGGUAAGACGACCCUUCGGGGUGUUGAGAGUGGCGGACGGGUGCGUAACGCGUAUGCAACAACCCCCGACGGGCGGACAGCCCGGUGGAAAACGCCCGGGAUAAUACGCCAUGCGGCUGAGCGAGGGCAUCCUCGCUUAGUCAAAGCUUUGGCGGUCGGGGACGGGCAUGCGUGCCAUUAGAUGGUCGGCGGGGUGACGGCCCACCGAGUCGACGAUGGCUAGGGGAUCUGAGAGGACGGUCCCCCACACUGGUACUGAGACACGGACCAGACUCCUGCGGGAGGCAGCAGUAAGGGAUAUUGGGCAAUGGGGGAACCCUGACCCAGCCAUGCCGCGUGAGGGAAUGAGGCCCUACGGGUCGUGAACCUCUUUUAUUCGGGGACAAGGACUCGGUCGCGAACCGAGUUUGAGGGUACCGAAGGAAUAAGCGUCGGCUAACUCCGUGCC